rnacentral:lncRNA from 1 species
AGCCAAUGCCAUUAUCUGGGUCAUUGCUAUCUGGCGAAGCUCAACAGUAUCCUGAGCACCAGAGAGGAGACUGGCAGAGGAACUGAAUCAAAGAGGUUGUGAAGGAUAUAGGGGUGGCAGAAGUGGGGACCGAAGAGACCCCUCUAAACCCCGGAGGCUGUGGCCGCUAGUCACUGGGAGCCACUGCUCUGUUUCGGAUUGAAGAACGACUUAGUUGGUGUGGUGAUCAGUCACGGUGGGUCAAAAAUAAAGGAUAGCCAAAGCACAACAAACAUCAAAAUCCAGAUAAAGAAAAGGACAUCUGGAAUCAUUAGUCAACAUUUUUGGCAGCAAGGCGAUGCAAACAAAAGCAAAAGUAGUAAUAGAUAAAUGUGUUUUUUAAAAAACAAAUUACAAUUCAGAACACAGAAUUGAUUUAAAAACCAAUUGAGAAAACCUUUUACAAAGAGUCAACAACAAGUUCAAUAUCCCAAGUGCAAGCAGACAACCGGAGGAAGGCAAAUUUUAAUAUAAUGUGUGAUGACGUGAAAAAUGGUAAGAAACGUCCUAUCCCCAAUCCUAGUUGCACAUUUGACGAUGCCUUUCAAUGUUGUUCUGAAGUUAUGGAAAAUAUUAAAAAGACAGGUUUUCAAAAACCAACACCUAUUCGGUCACAGGCAUGGCCAAUUGCUCUGCAAGGAAAAGAUCUUACAGGGGUAGCCCAAACUGGUACAGGAAAAACAUUAUGCUAUUUAAUGCCUGGAUAUAUUCAUCUGGACUUCCAACACACAGAGAAAAAAGGAAUAGACCCGCAUGUUAGUCCUUAUGCCCACUCAGGAGCUAACUCUUUAAGUGGAAGCUGAGUGAUGCAAUAAAAGUUUAGAAGCAUUUGUUAUACGGUGGUGGAGAUGGAGACAAACAAAUAGAAGACCUUAGGAAAGGUGUUGAUAUCAUAUUGGCAACUCCCAAAAGACUGGAUGAUCUGCAAAUGAAUAACUUUGUCAGCCUGAGAAGUGUAACCUACUUGGUUUUAGAUAAAGCAGACAAUAUGCUGGACAUGGGGUGUGAACCCAAGAUAAUGAAGAUUUUGUUAGAUGUGCGCCCAGACAGGCAGAAUAUUAUGACCAGGCAACUUGGCCAUAUUCAGUUCAUUGACUCAUACAAUCUUAUUUGAAAGAGCCCAUGCUUGUCUAUGCUGGUACACUGGAUCUGGUUGCCAUUAAGUUUAGUGAAGCAAAUAUAAUGAUCACCACAGAGGAAGAAAAAUGAAUUUAUAUCCAAAGUUUUCUAGAUCUUAUUUCACCCAGAGACAAAGUGAUUAUCUUCAUUUCCCAAAAGGCAGUUGCAGAUCAUUUAUCAAGUGACCUAAUACUUGGAAAUAUAUCAGUAGAGUCUCUGCAUGGUGAUACAGAACAGAGAGAUUGGUCGGGAGAGAGCAUUAGAGAAUGUUAAAAUAAGUCAAGUGAAUAUUAAUUGCUACUGACAUAACAUCCUGAGGUCUUGAUGUCCAUGAUAUUACAGAUAUCUAUAAUUACAAUUUUCCAUGGAACACUGAAAAAUAUGUACACUGAAUAGGGUGCACAGGAAGAGCUGGAAGGACUGGAGUGCCAAUUACACGUGUGACUAGAAAUGAUUUGAGGGUUGCCACCAAAUUGAUGAAUAUUUUGGAAAGAGCAAACCAGAGUGUUCCAAAGGAGUUUGCAUCAAUGGCUAAGAGACACGAGGCACAUCAACAACUAAAAAGGAAAUGGGAAGACUUCAAGGAACGCCCAAGAAGUUUUAUU